AUUGAACGCUGGUGGCAUGCUUAACACAUGCAAGUCGAACGGUAACAGAACUAGCUUGCUAGUUGCUGACGAGUGGCGGACGGGUGAGGAAUACAUAGGAAUCUGCCUUUAGGUGGGGGACAACAUUGGGAAACUAAUGCUAAUACCGCAUAAUACCUUAGGGUCAAACGUGGCGCUUGCGCUGCGGCCUGAAGAUGAGCCUAUGUCUGAUUAGCUAGAUGGUGGGGUAAAGGCCUACCAUGGCGAUGAUCAGUAGCUGUUCUGAGAGGAAGAUCAGCCACACUGGGACUGAGACACGGCCCAG
rnacentral:rRNA from 1 species